GAUAAUACAUGUUAAUAAUUAUCAUGAAUAUAAUAAAAAUAUUUAUUAAAUGAUCACUCAAAUUGUUUAAAAACCAACAAUUCAAAAAUUAUUUGGGGAAUUUCAAGUUUACCACAUUGUUGGUACCAUGAUUCAUGUUUACCUUCAUUAAACAACAUUUUUACAAAUACAUUCUUCAUUAAAGAGGCAAAAAAACUCUUAUACCCUUGCUUUAUAGAUAUAUAAAUAUAAAUAAUUAUUUAAAUAAAAAUAAUAAUAUAGUUUCCGAAUUAUAUGAUUUCAAAUUCAAUCUUUUUUACUUAUUUCUUUUUGAAUUUUUUUUAUUUCAAUUUUUUUGUUGAAUUCAAAAAUUAUGUUUGAAACUUUUUUAAUUUAUUUUUAUAAAAAAUAAGCAUUUAUUUAUAAUUUUAUUAAAAUCCAAAACCACAUCUUCCAAAACCCCACCCCUCAAACA
rnacentral:lncRNA from 1 species